rnacentral:tRNA from 1 species
CGGGGUGUGGCGCAGUUUGGUCAGCGCAACUGCUUUGGGAGCAGUGGGCCGGAGGUUCGAAUCCUCUCACCCCGACCA